GCCGGGCGGGGUGGCUCAAGCCUGUAAUCCCAGCACUUUGGGAGGCCGAGGCGGGUGGAUCACGAGGUCAGAAGAUCGAGACCAUCCUGGCUAACAGGGGGAAACACCGUUUCUACUAAAAAAUAAAAAAAAAAAAAAAANNNNNNNNNNUUUUUUUUUUUUUUUUAUUUUUUAGUAGAGACGGUGUUUCACCGUGUUAGCCAGGAUGGUCUCGAUCUUCUGACCUCGUGAUCCACCCGUCUCGG
rfam:Chlorocebus sabaeus isolate 1994-021 chromosome 11, whole genome shotgun sequence.